GCGGCGCCAAAUCCAUCGAGUCCCAGCGGAGGCGGCGCCGCAGAGAAGAGGAGCGGGAUUCAAAGAGAGGAGCGGCUUCACACGAUUCUUAUCUAUCCAUUACUCCACACCGCAAGCCCACGGGCUUUUUGGCUCUACCUUUCCCUCCGAGAAAAUAUUAUAUGCUAGCUUUCAUCUCAAGCAACCACAAGCUUUCCCCUUUCCAUAGUAUUCCCCUCCUCUUCCCUCCCCUCCUCAAGAAAAAAUAUAGACCUCUCCUCUUCCUCCUCCUCCUCCUCCUAAUCUUCUUCAAGGUUGGUAGUAGAAGAACUGUGUCUCCCUCGAUAUGGAAUCGCCGGAAGGUAAGACUGAAAUGGAGCUUCCGCGACCUACUUCCCCUUGUUGGAAGAAGAAGUCGGCGGACGCGGGCUUCGUGGCUAAUUUUAAGGACCACUUUGAUCAGCUUGUGCAUACUUCAAUGGAGCAGCACAGGAUUUGCCUCAAGAAGAGCAUGAGGGAACUUAAGGACUAUGUUAGGCUCAAGAAACAAGGCGCGAUGGUGAAAUCAUCAAAGGAUGUCACUGAGAGGGAUUCAGCAGGUGAUAAAGAAAAAGAAAGUUCGAUGUCGGUCCACGAGGCAACAUCACUAUAGGAUCCAACAUGGUUGAUGAUUUGUUCUUGAUGACAGUUUUAGAGUAGUUUCAUAGGUGGCAAGAAUUCAUCUUGGCAGCUUUGAAGUCUUCUUUAGUACAUAAUGCAUGGAAGUGAAAAAGGUAUAGAGGAGGUUAUGGAAGAGACCCCCCAUUAUCCAAAGUUGCUAACUUCUUCAUGAUCAUCUCCACUUGCACUGCCACUGAAAUCAGUUCUACAAGAUUGUAAAAGAAACAUUUAACUCUGUUAAAAAUUUAGAAUAAUUCUUGGCGCAUGCUUGGAUGUUGAUUACUUUGAUGUCCACAAAAUGCAAGUGCUUGAGGUAAAGAUCCAACAUGAGACCCAAGAAAACAAUGGUUCAAGAUGGUUAAACACAGGAGGAACAUUGCAAACAAGAAUUUUCUUAUGGAUUUGGUCUAUCUAAUUGUAAGAUAGAUGGCUUUAUAGAACUAGAUCACUUCAUAUAUACUUCAAGAGUGUCAAACAUAUCUAUAGUAUAUUGUAAUGCGUUAAAGUUUGGUGAAUUGGCAUUAUGGUUCAACAUUUUGGUUGGGUAUUCUGUAACUUUAAUUUCGUUACACCAACAUUACAUUAUAUAACAAAUUGACCGUAAAAGCUCUCCAAACUCCAAAGAAAAAUACAAACCUAGAAUUAUUUGUUAAUUAAUCAAUCUUCUGUUAUGAGAAGCAAUUUCAAUUUGCUAGCAGGAAUUGGGUCUAAUGGUGGACGCCCCUUUUCUGGGGUUGCCCAUGGGAAAGUUCUGGAUUAUUUUCUUUUAGGAAAAAACCCUAGUUCCACUAGCUGAUUGUUUGUUCCUCAUACAAUCAACUGCAAGUGCAUCUUUGUGCUUCACAAGGGAUUAUAGGUUUCUAAUAUAUCCCUGCCACAAUGCUACAUUAGUGCCAUAUUAGAUUGGAAAAUAAAAUGAGUCACUCUCUUAAGCUAGGAUAAAUUGAUUGGCAAAAUGCAUGUCCGACCUACCACCAAGCACGCACUUGUGCCUUAGACAAGAGGCAAGGGAGCAAUUUAGAAGUAGUGUUGCCCCUCAAUUCCCAAUUAACAAAGUUUUGAUCAUGCGAAUUUUGAGUCGGUCUGCCCCGAGGCUUAGGCUUUAACCUAGGUCAUGAUGAUGGGUAUAAAUUGGCAUGAGGAUUAGCCCCUCAUAGUCUAAGGAUAAAAAAAUGUUAGACCUUGGCGACCAAAAAAAAUUGAUAUACGGACCUUUUUAUCUUUGGUAUAGGUGAUAUCGGCUAUCUUUUCCCUUAUAAAAAAAUAUAGGAACCAUCGACAAUGAAAAUAUGACUUGCAAAAUGUGUGCGUACAUUCUAUAUAUACGUAUAUGUAUGUAUGUACAUAUAUACAUACGUAAAUACAUACAUGUGCACUCCAUAUAUAAUUAAUUUAAUAUCUAGUUAAUGUUUUUUAGUGCUAUAUGGAUAGAUUUUCUUAAGAGUUAUUUCAAAUAGUAAUAAAUCUUCAUGGAGGUGCAUCUAAAAAUAAUUAAAGAAACAAUGAGAGAUCAUUAUUAACUUUUUAUUUCACAUGUUUUGACAAUUGACAUAGAGAAGUUAGAAUGAUUCUGUAGUCACUCACUGCAUCUAAUAACUAACUUUUAAAUUAAAUAUAAUUAAGAAGUAUUUUUAUUAAUUCAUGAUUUUAUUUAUCUCAUAUAAAUAGUUCUGCAAUCACAACAUAGUUUUGAGCAAUUAUUGAUAUUGAGUAAUUGUUGAACAUGACAUCAUUUUUAUCAUAAUCUUCAAACUAUUUUUCUUUAUGAAAAAAUUAAAUUCCCUCUCCCUCUUGAAGUUAAUAGUCUUAUUAUAUGUAUGUGGCUCUACUGAGUCCUGCAUGAUUUCAUAUUUUCCUCCUUUUUUCCCCACCUUUGAUCUUUGAUAUGGUCAUGCUUGUAGUAAGCCAACCCACAGUUAUAGACUUGACCCAACAAACUGAUUUAGAUUGCGAAUUUUUUGGAUCCAAAGAUAAAAUUUUAGAACUAUGCCCGACCCAAACUUGGUUCCACUCAAACAGGAUAAAUUACUAGAAAUAUAACUUUUAUAAUUUUACUCUUGUAUUUUUAUCUUUUAAAAAGAAAUUUUUUUUUACUACCGUUAUUUGGCCUUUUGUAUAUCCUCUUAUCAAAGGAUUUCAACGCUUGUCAUCCCAUGUACAAUAAUUAGUCAUUCUUUUAUAUAUAUAUAUAGAGAGAGAGAGAGGGAGAAGAUUGCAUUAGAUUCAUCUGCACUCGAAUGGAUUUUCAUUCAGUUUCGAUCAGAUCUAUAGCGGACGAUGAUGAUCUCAUAUCAAUGAUUCAAAUCAUUGGAUGGGAUAUACUAUAUCUAAACAACUUAUAUACCAAAAAUCAAAUAAUCUAAUAUGAUGUAUCAAAUAACCAAAAAUAUUAGACAGUUUAAAUAAUUAAUAUAUAUAUAUAUAUAUAUAUAUAUAUACAUACAUUCUUGUUUUCUUAGUUGAAGGUCUCCAUUGCUAUAUACAUUCUUGUUUUCUUAGUUUUUAUGCAUGGUUCUAUUGAGUAGCUGAAUUCAAACAUGCCCAUUCCGGUCACCAAGCCAGAUGGAUAUGGGUAGGGUUUAGGUGGAACCACCCCUUUAAGAUUUUCAUCGGGAUUGGAUUGGCCCAAAGUCAAAACAGUGGGUUUGGGAUUUGGGGUGAGAUUUUUAUUUUAUUUUAUUUUAUUUUUUAAUAUAUUUAUAUAUAUGUAUUUGCUAAAAUAAAUAAUUUACGGAUACAUCCAAUAAACUUAGAAACAAUAAAUCUAGAAGCAAUCUUCACAACUUUUUCCGAAUAUCUCAGCAGCCGCAAUUUCAUUAGUCUCUUUAAAAAAAUAAAAAUAAAAAUAAAAAUAAUAAAAGUUAAAAAAAAAAAAAGCAGAAGCUUAGCAUGGUCGAAAGCCGGGACCUUGAAAUCUAAACCUGGUCGCUCCGUGCGCUGCUCGCCGCCCACUCCGGCUUUGCCUGCAAAAAGCCCGUUCUUCCCGUCCUAUAAGUACACGUGGAUGCUCAGCGCUUCGCCCUAAGUCGCCCUCUCCUUAUUUCGCUGACCCUGUUCUUCUCUCUCCCAGGAUGGAGUCCGAAAGAUUUCAAUCUGAAAAGCAGCAUUCCUCUGCGACGGUCGAUCCAGCAAUGACAUCAUGUCGAAAGAAGAAAUCAGAGGACACCACAAUUUUGCAAGAUCUGAGAGAUCACGUUGAUGAGUUUAUGCAUGCUUCCAUGGAUGAGCACAAGACUUGCUUUACGAAGACCAUACAAAAGAUGUUUGGAAUGUCCAAGGCCGUUGCGGAAAGGACUGCAGGAGCCAAGGAAGUUGAUAGUUCUUUGCCCCUUCAGACAACCGUGUCCCGGUGAAAAUUUGGAAGUGGCGAUGUUCAAUGCCUUGUGUCUUUAUAUCCAACUUCCAGAGUGCUCACAUUCUCUGGGCGUUUUAGUACUAGCAGAUGCAAGCAACUUCUAUGUUUUGCUGAGCAUCACCAGAUGAUACUUAGUUUUCCUAGUUCCUUACUUGAUAUAAAGUUAUCAGCAUAUGAUGUAUGUUGUUGUUAUUGUACCAAAAAAAAAAUGAUGUAUGUUGUUUCCUAUUGCAUUGUUUUGCUGGCCUCCAGUUGGAUCUCUAACCGAUCACAAUAAUGGAAAUUCCCUUGGCAA